CACGUAGGGCGCGAGCGUUGUCCGGAAUUAUUGGGCGUAAAGAGCUCGUAGGCGGCCUGUUGCGUCCGCUGUGAAAGCCCGGGGCUUAACCCCGGGUCGGCAGUGGAUACGGGCAGGCUAGAGGUAGGUAGGGGAGAAUGGAAUUCCCGGUGUAGCGGUGAAAUGCGCAGAUAUCGGGAGGAACACCAGUGGCGAAGGCGGCUCUCUGGACCUCUGCUGACGCUGAGGCGCGAAAGCGUGGGGAGCGAGCCGG
rnacentral:rRNA from 1 species